rnacentral:lncRNA from 1 species
AAGGAUGAGGGCUACGUACAUGACGAUCGUUGGUCUUGUCCUUUUGGUGCUAGCCUCCGGUAUGUAUAUGUUAUACCUUUUUCACGCUAAUGUGCAUCAACGACAAAUUAUUUCUACUUUUAUAAGUAUAACUUAUGAGGCAUUCUUUGAUUUUCUUUUUUCUUUUUGGUAAUAUCUGAAGAUAUGGUGGCAACAUCAUCAACGACAAAGGAUGGAUAUCUUACCUCAACGAACUGCAUAGUUAAAACACCGAUGCGUUGUGAUGAAAUCAAGAGAUGCGUGGAUACGUGCAACUCUCUAUCACGUGGGAAGCCUGAGAUUAGCUGUGUUGACGGGGAAUGCAUUUGCAAAUUUUGUUGAUUAUGGAACUAUAGCGUGACGCUUAUUUCCUCUUCAUUGAAUUAGUAUUGGCAGCCGAUGUAUUAGGAGUAGCAAUACAGUGAUCUGUACCAAUAUUGGCGAUCCAUGUACUAGCAAUGUGUAUCAAUUGUUCACACCAAUAAAUGACAUAGGAAUAUCAACGGAUCGAACUAUUCAUGAGGUAAUCCAUGUGUUUUCAACCAAUAAAUGAACCUCUCGUUACUUCUUUC